rnacentral:rRNA from 1 species
UGGGGGAUAUUGCACAAUGGGCGAAAGCCUGAUGCAGCGACGCCGCGUGGGGGAUGAAGGCCUUCGGGUUGUAAACUUCUUUUGCUCUGAACAAGGCAUGCUAAUGGGUGUGUUGAGUGUAGGGGUUGAUUAGCGCCGGCUAACUACGUGCCAGCAGCCGCGGUAAUACGUAGGGCGCGAGCGUUGUCCGGAAUUAUUGGGCGUAAAGGGCUUGUAGGUGGCUGGUUGCGUCUGUCGUGAAAGCUCAUGGCUUAACUGUGGGUUUGCGGUGGGUACGGGCUGGCUUGAGUGCAGUAGGGGAGGGUGGAAUUCCUGGUGUAGCGGUGGAAUGCGCAGAUAUCAGGAGGAAUACCGGUGGCGAGGGCGGGUCUCUGGGCUGUUACUGACACUGAGGAGCGAAAGCAUGGGGAGCGAACAGG